GCUCUCGUUUCCCUUUCCUCCGCCUCCAGCUCCCAGGUUUGUUCCUCAAUCGGCAGCUUGUUUGCCGGCGUUUCUCUGUUCUUGAUACUUCCUCGCCUGUCUGGUUUUUGCUUGAUCUGUUCCUAGGCUGUGAUGAUCAAAAUACCUACCUAUUUUCUGAGGGAUUUCGAUCCCCCUGCAGAGAAACCAAUUCAUUCUUCUGAGCCUUCCAAGAUCUGUGCAGUUUCUUGAUUUUUGCGCUCGAUCUUAUUUUGCAACCGAUUCUGAAAAACCAGAUUUGAGUUGAUGGGAUGAUAAUCUCUGGCAGAAAAUCGUUUUUAGUGUUGACCAAAAUUACAGACUACAAUUAUCUGAUCAACUCUCGAAUCUCGCUGAACCUCUCUGUUCUUUCGCCUCUCUGUAUCUUCACCUGAUUAUCUUGGUUUCUGCGUUUUAUCCUUUUUUUGACCGAUUGGGGAAAUUAGAUCUAAUUAAUGGUUGAUGUGAUGAUAACCUUUCACAGAAAAUCAUAUUUAGUGUUGACCAAAUUACAGACUACAAUUAUCUGAUCAACUCUAGAAUCUCAACCAAUCUGUUAUUUCGUUUCCCGUGAGCUUCGCCUGAUAUCUUUUCUCCUUGCGCUGAAUUUCUUUGGUUACUUUCUUGCAUCCGUGCACAACAAGCCGAUGCUCUGGAUGAUUAGAGGAAGGAAGCAUGGUAAUGUGCACGGAGAUGGACUGAAUUGGUCUGCAUGUCUGCCCGCCCUGACGCCUUCGGGCUUUGAUCUCGCGGGCCUGGAUUUGACCCACACUACCACUUACCCCAAAAAUAUCGUUUAGUUUUCAGUAAUCACCUCGUUUAAUCUGUCGGUAGUCGAUUUCUCUGUGGCCUGUUGGAUUUGGUUAAUUACCUCUGUAGAUCUAUAGGCCUCGUCAAUGGCUCAAACUGUUUGAACAUUGAUCUCAGUACGUCUGGGCUCGGUGGCUAAUUAGCCAGUUACACACAGCAGCCACCACCAUGGCAGCAAUCUCUGUGCGAAUGGUCAGUAAGCCCACCUAUAUCGACAUGUUUUGUUGUGCCAAUUGAAGUAAUGACUCUUUCUUGUGCUCACUUCUUUGAUACAUCAACUCACAAUGCCAUAACUGAACAGUUAUUCUGCUUGAUAGUACAAAUGUAGUUACAGUAUGAUGAUUUCUUCAAUUUAGCAUCAAACUCAGAAUUAAUCAUAAUCUAGUUGUAGUAAUCUUGUUGUUUAUUCGUUUCAAUACUCAUUUUAGAACUUAGUAAGGCAAUAAAUUGGAGUCUCUGGUGCGCUUCUUAUUAGCGUAAUUCAGCGCUGUAGGUUGCCAAGAGGAAACUUGGGCUAUGAUUCUGGCAGAAGCCAUUUUUUGAGAUGGCUUUUGCAUUCAACUUGUCCAUACAUAUCUUAGCAAUGAACUGAAUUUUGUUUGUAUAGGUGUAUUAGGGAUGCCAUGAGGUAUCUGAUGCUUGGUCUUUUUUCAUGGCCUUGUUUCUCGUUAGAUUGGCAGACAGCGAGAAGGAAACGGGUUUUUGCGACACUGGCUGCUCUAGUACCAGGAGCUUUCUGUUACUAUACCCCCGUUUACACCUAUCAAUGAAUUGUUCUUUCUGCGGCCGGCUUCAGUAUUUUGUCCAUCAGUGAUGAUCAACACUCGUUAGAUCCCUUGUAUGAUAUAUUAUUGAGCUGUGCUUAUUCUGCAUCUUUUUUAGUUCUUGGUUCUCUGUGAUGAUGAAAACAGAUGACGAGUCUGAUGUAAUCCAUUCUAUUAAACCAUGUGGACAAUCGAGGCAUUUGUCUGAGAGAGCUUAAUAAUUUUUUUUAAAUGACUGUGUUGCUGACAUUAUCAGGAAGACAAUUGUUGUCUGAACUAUUUGAUAAUAAUUUCAUUGUGCAUUCUGGGUGUCUUCUUGUUUGCUAUGUUUGACUUAAUGGGUGAAGUGAUGAUAUCAUAACCAUACCACAUUUCUGCAUUCACUGUGAUGAUCAAUUUACAUCAUGCACUACCAUCUGAUAUCCCAUUGCUAUUUCCAUAGUUUAGAUAUUUUUACAUGAUUAAACUUUCAGCUCUGGUAACAUUUACCCAGAAGUCCACAGUGCUUUUUUCCUUGUAUUUUAUCUCCCUGGUUCUAUUUGUUUCAUUUUUCAGAACUUAAAUGGAUUAAAUGGAUGUGAUGAUCCUUUCCCCAAAAGAUCGACUAUGAUUAUACUGUGCGCAAAUGUAAUCCCAUCAGGAUUCCAAGCCAGAAAUCUGAUCCAUCUUUUGUACUUUUGUUUUCCUUUUCAUAUUUUAUUGUUGUCUUCUGGUGAGUAUUUGAAUGCUAGGCAGGUUUCAUUUCUCCAAAUUAUCAUGCACUAUAGAAGUGUUACUCCAACCGUCACCACAAAUCCAGUUAAGAGUAUUAUUAUUUCGUCGACUUAGCAUCAAACUCUAAAUCAAUAAUCCUCUGUAGUUUCUGUCACUUGUUAUUCAUUUGGGUCAAUCUGAAACUUCUGAAGGCAAUAAAUUAGAGUCUCUGGUGCACUUCUUAAUAGUGUAAUUCAGCGCUGUACGUUGCCAAGAUGUAUCUUUGGGCUAAGAUUCUGGCACAAGCCAUUCUUUGAGAUGGCUUUUGCAUUCAACUUGUCCAUACAUAUCUUAGCACUUAACUGAAUUUUGUUUGGAAAGGGGUAUUAGGGAUGCCAUGAGGUAUCUGAUGCCUGGUCUUCUUUCAUGGCCUUGUUUCUCGUUGGAUUGGCAGACAGUGAGAGGGAAACAGGUUUUUGCGACACUGGCUGCUCUCAUACCAGGAGCUUCCUGUUACUAUACCCCCGUUUACAUCAAUCAUUUGCUUCUUUUGUUCUCAGUGAUGACCAACACUGAUUAGAUGACCGAUUCAUUCCAUUCCAUUAAACCAUGGGGACAAAAUGAGGCAUUUGUCUGAGAGAGCAUGUUAGGAGUUGAAAACACUUUUUUUUCACCCCUGCCAUUCUGUAUGAUGAAAACAGGUGACGAGUCUGAUGUAAUCCAUUCUAUUAAACCAUGUGGGCAAUCGAGGCAUUUGUCUGAGAGAACAUGUGCUUCUGUGCUAUUUUUUCUGAUUUAUUUAACUUUGUGAUUGUGAGGAGGACAAUUGUUUUCUGACGAUAAAUUUCUCCUACUCUUUCUAAAAUUCAAAUUGGCACAAAUGGCACUCCCUACAGGGUUUGUGACGACUCACCUUGGAGAUAGCGUUGAGGCAAAUAUUUAGGGGUGAUGCUCAUGUUAUGUGGAGCCUCCUCAACAGGAGCCUCACACGUCAUCUUUGUAUCUACUAGUAAGCGUCACAGGAACCAAUCGCAGCACCCAAACCGGGACGACAUGUGGUCGAUCUACCCACCGGUUUUGUCUCGCCUCUACCCUUGCCUACUUCUUGGUCAUGUUGUUCUUCGCCCGCGCCUUCAUUUGAUCGGCAUACACCUGAAAUAAAAUUUGUACAAUUACAGACAGCUGGGAUUUGUUUCAGUUUUGUUAAGAGUAUAAAACUUAGAGCAGAGCUGGCUGAGGGAUGGUGUGGCGGCACCGCCUAGUGCCGCUCCUUGAAUGCUCCAGGCUGUCAUUUGGCGUCAUCUCUGUGCCUACGCUUCUCGUCAACACCGACGACGACGACUGCAGCGCUGUCGCCGGAGCAGCCGCCUGGGUGUGGAGCUUCAUGUCAAUUCGGCGGAAGUAUUUCCUCUGCCGGAGAUAGUCUACUUGGGAGGUUACAUUCCAUGUGCCAUCCUCCCAUCUUUAUUAUAGGCAUCAUUUCUAUUGAUUUUAAAUUUGCAUCAGGGUGUUUAAUUCCUGUUGGCUAGAGUUCAGAAGAUAUUUUUCUCAGACAUUAGUAUUUCCAAAAUAAAACCAAUAAGGUUUAGUACGGAGACUAUUUUUGAGUUAUUGACAGGAAAAAACAAACAUGUGCCUUGUGCAUUAAGUUCACUUUGCAGGACAAUAUAUUGCCUAUAAUCAUAUGUUCACUGAAACUUUCAAGAAA